GGUAGCGUGGCCGAGUUGGUCUAAGGCGUUGGAUUUAAGUUCCCAAUGGACAAAAGUCCGCGCGAGUUCGAACCUCGCCGCUACCA
rnacentral:tRNA from 1 species